rnacentral:lncRNA from 1 species
AAGAGCGGUUGAGUGCACUGAAUGAUGCUUUUACUCCUGGUCCUGAACUUCAAGGGGACAAUGUUGAUACAUUAUACACGUAAGUACUAUUGGUGCUUCAAUGGAUGCUUUGUCACUGUUCCUUCUGUCGUUUUCAUGUCGCGUGUUGCCUGGUGGAUUGCAGGAGUCCAGAGGCAUUACACACUUGGGCAAGUGCUAUAGUAGAUGCAUAUUAUAACAGCAGAGAAGGCACUCUCCUUGGACAAGCAAGAGACUUGAUGAACCCAAAAAUCAUCAGGAGAGUCGAAGAGAUAGUGAAGAUAAUCAAGGACAAAUACCUUUAAUCUUUGGUUAUCAGAAAUUUUGGGUUUUAACAUUUCUACUGAUUGCACAAAGUCUUGCGCGGUGACCAUAGGAUGAUGGCCCUGUACGAACUGCUCCCUGCAAAACUACAGGCAUUAUUCCAGCGGAACUCUUCACCACUGUCGACUCCUUACAGAUUAAAGGAAAUGCAGAUUGUUGUAACUCAUUACAUGAAAAGGUGGUUGUAGCAUGUGAUGUAUCAAUGUAGCUUUCACAUAGAUAUUAAGGGAGUAUCCACGUCUCGUACACACUAACAGUGUUGUAACUGGUUUGACUAGUUUAGAAUCAGAAGUCAUAUGUAUGUACCCAAAUAUCCUUGUAAUGAGCUCCUCGAUGAUCUCAAUAGUUGUACGGAUGGUGCUGACCCACUCUGAUUAAGACUUCUAUUUCAGCAUGACAAAUGUUUCUGGACAUGUUUGAGGCUUUGAGCCGAAUGAUGUAAUAAGACUCAGUCGAUGCUCAUAUUUACAGCUAUGUUACCCAUGUGGCAUAGUCAACAAGAUUAAGAAGGUCUAUCAAACUACAACUUCUCGAUAGAUAUGUUUUGCUGCAUUCUUAUAAAAAAUUGUUUGCUCUCAUGCAGCUGCAGGACAAAGAACUCUAGUGGAGUAAAAGCCUCAAACUCUGGAUUAACGCCUGGUCCUGCGAACACGUAUGUUAUCCUCAAACCUAUGCCGGGAUAUUAUAUUGAAUAGACAAUCAUUUAGUGAUCUUUCAGAAAUCUAGUUUAUAUUGUUUACCGUAAGGUCAUUUUCCGUCCUACUCCUCAAUCUUGUUUGAUGUUUCGUGCUAUCCCUCUGUAUGAUGUGGUUGACAGUUACGACAAGCUUUUUACAUGUAUUUACUUGCCCAGAUAAGCUACUGUGGUUUUCAUACACGAAGGUCAUUCCAAAUAAACAGCGCACACCAAAUGGAACUUCAAGUUGCUGUUAAAUUGCAAAUAAUUUAACCAAGAUACUGUUGAUUCCACAGGCAAAUCCAAAUCAGCCGUUAAAUUUUUUAACUUCUGUUGGUUUUCUACUGCUUUUACAGUUGGCAUGUUAUGCCGCAUCGUUUUAUACAUUAUAUGUCGUAAUUUAUCUAGUGUGUUAGUACCAUCCCCCUUUAUAAUGUGGUUGAGAGUUGAGACAAAACAUUUACGUGUGUUUGCUUGCAAAGAUGAAUAACCGUGCUUUUCAUGCAAAGGUCACUGCAAAUAAACUAAUGUGGGAGAAAUGAAAACUCCAACUUGCUGUUAAAUUCAAAAGGAUUUAGACAAAGAAUAUGCUGAUUCCACCGACUGAUCCAGAUCGACCAUAGAAAUGUUCAAAUUUCUUUUGGGUCUACUGCUUUUACAAAUCAGACGCUUGCAUCGUUUGGACCACUACCUCUAAGGUCUAACAAAUUCCUGCAUAUCUUGUUUGAGGUUGGUAGGUACUACAUACCAUCCUACGUAUAAUGUGGUUGGCAGUUAAGACAAAACUUACGUGUAUGUUUGCUUGCCACGAUAAACAACCGUGCUUUUCAUGGUCACUCACUGCAAAUAAACUAGUGUGCGCAAAAUUUAAAAGUUCAACUUGCUGUUAAAUUCCAAAGGAUUUAACCCGAGAAUAUGCUGAUUCCGCUGGCAAUUCAGUAUCAACCACAGAAAUGUUCAAAAUUUAGUCUGGUUUUACUGCAUUUACAAUCGAGAGAUGCUUCCAAGUUCCAACGUCUCUGGACCACAACCUCCAAGAAGGUUUAAAACAAUUUUUGCAUAGAAGAAAGAGGUGUGAUAGGAUAUAGUGGUUCAAAAAUGAGUUUUUAACAGCAGUACAGGCAGGUUCAGCUCCCGAGCGUAGUUGUAAGGAGUCGGUGCUCGUAGCCUAAGAGGGGGAGGGGUGAAUUAGCCAACUUAAAACUUUAACUUAUGACUUUCACUACUUUUGCAUCAAACUUAAACUAGAUCAAGCUAUCAAUCUAGUAUGAAACCCUCGUCCCAAAAUAAGUUUUGCAACCUAGAGCCAAUCCUAACAAGAUACUACACUAAGAAAGUAAAGGCACAUAAGUUGCAAUUAUGAAAUGCGGAAAUGUAAGAGGUGAGGAUGAGGGGAAGCAAACUCUUUGACACGAUGAUUUAUCCCAUAGCAUCGGUAGGCACUAAGCCACCGCUAGUUCACGUUGUUGAAGCACUCACACAAGAGUAUUGCUUACCGGUCACAAGUCUCUUCCGGGACACCCCUUGACUUGCCACAAAGGCUUGACCACUAAGGAUCACGUCAAGUUCCCCGGUCACCUUGAUGCCAUCUCCACUAAGGAGCUUUUCCACGAAGGGGUCUCCACAUCCCCUGCAUACGGUCGUCGAUGCUGCUCCACACAAAGCCGCAGGGUUGAAGACUUGCCAGCGAGCCGCCAAGGCUCCAAGGUGCCGGCACACCUUCUACAGCUAUGGUUCACUCCUAGAACCGAUCACAAGGUAAGCACAACUUGCACUCUCUCUUCUCUAGGUCUAUCCUAACACUAAUCACUCUUCUAAGCUUGUGCUAAGUCUUUGACUAAUCACUUAUGCACUUUUGGUGGCUUGGAUGUGUUCUUGAUAAGUCUUGAUCUUCAAUGGAUUCUUGCACACUCCAGCAAC